GCUGUAGCUCAGGGUUAGAGCAUCUGUUUUCCGUGCAGAAGGUCCCAGGUUCAGUUCCCAAUAGCUCCA